ACCAAAAACCAGGGCAGGGAGCUUGGAAAUGGCUAGUCCGGUCUUCAGAUGACUGUAGCUUGGCUUACCUCUUCACUGCAACUUCAUGGGAGAUCCAGCACCAGAACCACUCAACCGAGCCACUCUCAGGUUCCUGAUCCACAUGAACUUUAUCACAGGUUGCGAGAGGUCUUAAAUCCAUACUCUUCCAGUGACUAGAGCAAAUGCAGCCCUAGGUCUGGCAUCCUGAAUUUUUGUCUUAUUUUUUCAUUAGUACACGAGACUCUACUUUCAUCUUUUUAAAAGGUCUCUUGCUAUCCUUCAAGCAAAGCUAUCUCCAAAUCUGAAGAAGAGACCAAGAAAUAGAAAAAGUAGCACCUCUUGCCUGCUUCCCUGUCUAAUAUUUGAAAGAGUGCCUCCAUCAGAGAGCUCCAUCCAGACCUAGACUUGGACAAUAGGCAGUUGUUUGCUUGCCUCUGGCUCUGCUCACUCUCCAUGGGGGUCUAUAGCUGGUGAUCAUCUUGUAUACCUAAUUCUGGCUUCAUCUUCAGACUCGGACAGCCAGGAAUCCAGGAAUGUGCAGCAUGGAUGCCCAAGUCUGAGUGGAGGUUGCAUCAGUUUCAAAGACAUUGUGCUCUUCCCUGCCGUGGUGGAGUGGUGAGCCGGUUGACAUCCCGGAAAAGGUUGUUAGGGAGUGGAGGUGGGUGGAAGAACCAGAGUCAGACAGUCUGUUCUUCUCUGAUGGUGUCACAUCUGGAUAGAGUGGCUGGAGCUGCUGCAUCCAGCUUGCUACAAGCACAGGGGAUGGCAGAGCUCAGAGAUGGGAUGACCCUGUGUUCUUGAUGGAAUCAACCAGUCAUGCGGAUCCUGCUAUUUCUGGACUGGCUGUUAGGUGAGAUAAUGAAUUAUUUCCACAAUGCAUGCUUCUUGGAGCACAGGGAGACUCUUACUUGAGGACCUCGUUAUUUCUCACUGGGGCCAUGCUGGCGGCGUUCAAGUCAGGCUGCUCUCAGGCUUCUCCAGAAGUACCUAACAACUCAUGGCCACUCUUCUGACCCUAUCCUUCACAAGUAGGCCUACUUUAUAGGUACUGACCACAUAUUUUCUAUAUUAAUCUGAAAAACAUGAUGGUUUUGAGGUGUCACAUUUCCCAAGAUAUACCUUAGAAUUGAAGUUAUGCUUUAAUGAAUAAAAAAAUUAACACUUAUUUUUGAGGAUAACAUAUUCUAUAUAUCUUUAUAAAAUAUAGAACAUGGAGGAAAGUGAAAAGAAGGAAAUAAAUAUUUUGUAUUCAUAGAUAAUUUGUGUGUAGACAUAUACUUUUAGGUUUUUUUCCAGACAGCUAUCAGAAAAUCAAACCCUGCUUACCACUUAUAAGAUACUGUUCUCAUUUAGUCUGUAACAUCACAAACAGUUCACCUUUGGUUGCACAGUGCCCAGUUGAAUGGAUGCAGUGCAAUAUGCUCACCUACUUCUGUAUUGCUCAGGAUUUGGGUUGGUUCUAAUUCUUGAAGUCUCUUUGAUAACAAAGGAAAGGGAGAACAAAGAGAGGGGAGAAACUGGGAAUUUAGUAUUCAAAUAUUAAAUUUGAACACCUCUAAACUUGAAGAGUAAAUUGGAAUUGCUCCUCAGAGUAAAGUACCCAAAGAACUAAUAACUUACUCUUUUCUUCAAAUGGUGUCUCUCUAUUGGUUUAUCACAUUAGCUUGCCUUUGAGUUCAAGCAGGCAAGACACAGAGGCAGGUCCCUGAACCACAGCACUCUAAUUUUACAUGUCAGAGUUAAUACCAGUAUCAAUGUCAAUGUGGGAAGCUGGGCUUUAAAGUAAUCACCUCCUACUUCUGGUUUGUUGAAUAGGAUUGAAAACCCAAUGUUUUCUAAAGGCUCACCACUAAGACUGGAUUGGCAUUCCUAAAAGUAGGAGGCUCAAAGACAUUUCAAGCAUGUUUCUGCCACAGUGAUUUGUUGUGGUGGUUCAUUAGCAAAAUCUCUCUUCUGACUCACUCUAAUAAUAACAAUAUAACCUAUGAUAUCUCUAGAGAACUUUACAGUUCAGAAAAGGGAUUUCACCUCACUGUCUGAUCUGAUUACCACCAUAGAACUUUGAAAUCAGUUGGUAGCAGGGAAAUCUCCUACCCCUCCAUCUCCUGCCUCUGUCUCCAAAUUCCAUUCUGACUGGACUGUGCUUACUGGUGAUCCAGAUAACUGUGUUUUAAAAGGCAUGUGCAUUACACGAAUCCUCUCCCUUUGACCUGUUGCACCCAGCCUUGUGUGGCAAGCUUGCGCAAUGUCUGGAUUGGGAGAGUGGGCUGGCAUUUCUCUAGCUUUCUUUUGUGUGUGUGUGAACUCUGAAUGCUCUGGUCUCCAGGGACUGGCUGGCAGUAACAGUUGAAUUUCAAGCAAAAGGAGAAGACCCAUUAAGUUUACCUGAACUUAAGCAACAAGCGGUAGUCCAGAUUACUACAGGGUACAGGCACUAGUCCAGCUAGUCAUAAAAUGGUUUCUGCUCCCAUUUUGACACUGUGAUUUAUGUGUGUGUGUGUCCCUGCAAAUCUGCAUCACCCCAAUAUCACCAAUACUUCUAGUCUAGUGGUUUAUGCUCAUAACAUAGAGAAGGAAACCAAGACUCAGACCCCAGUGUGACUUGCCCAAGGUCACAGGGCUGGUAAUAAUGGAGCCUGACCUAGCUCUCAGAGUUCCUGAUCUUCAGUCACCACACCAGGCUUCCAACACUUUAUCUUUCCCCAGAAAUGACCCACAUCUUUGGCACUCUUCAUUUUGUCAGUAAUAAGCAAUGGGCAAGCUCCCCUCUGGAGAGAUAGCUUUUCCUGUUAUCACCCAGUCACAUGCAGGCCUCCCUGUUAUCACGUCUUUUCUCCUGCAACAGGAACAAACAAUAACAGUACUAUAGCUCCCUCUUUCCUAGGAGAAGGAAGUUUUGGUAACUAUUGUUCAGCCUCUGUGUUCAGGAGUGACAUGGACAAUAGGUAGAUUUCUGCAGCCUUAGGGAAGUAUCAGAAUGAAUCUGUUGAAAAACCGUGGUUCCAGAGACUCUUUCCUGUAAUUCUCCCCAGCACGGUCUUUCAUAUUUUAUUGCCUUGCAUGACUUCUUCUGCUUCCAUUAACACUGAGACAAAGGUAUUUUUUUGUACUUACUGAAUUUUUUCCCUAAGUAUCAUGUGAGUGGUGUACAAACUCAACUUUCAACCUCCUGCUAUUCAACUUGAGAGCUGUUUUAUAUGUUUUACCAAUUUCAAGUUACUUUCUAACUGACUGCAGGAAAAGUUCUUUAUGUCAUUCUGGAGAAGCAACCAAUUUUCACUGAAUGGUAAUACAAUGGAGUCCUUCUUAUUUGCUUUCAGUCUCAUCACAAAUAGUUAGCAUUCUGUUCCUUUUGCAGAAAAAAUGGCCUUAUGUUUAUAAUAAAAACAAAAUGUGUAUGUUGCAAUAUAGAUUUAAAAGUCAACACUGAAAUAUGCUGUCUUCUGUUAGUAAUAUUAUUUUUUAUUACUUCUCUCUCUCUAUUUUUUAAACCCACAUGAUAUAGACAUCUGACUCAUGAAAAGAAAAAUAGAAGUGAAAAUUGCCAUUUUUCUCAAGAAAUAGCACUUUCUUCCCACAAUAUAAAGAAGACCAUUUGACUUUUAUUACUAAGUUUUCCAAACCACUGAGCAUGCACCUCCACAUGCCUGCAGAGUGCACUGGUUGCCAUUGGGUUGAGUGAAUUCCAGUUACACAUUACUAUCACAGACAAGUAAAGGGUCAAUGAAAUACAUAUUCACGACCCCACAAAUAAUCUUUUCAGUAGUCUGUUUCCUAGUUACAUGAUUUCCCUUUUCUUAAAUCCUUGAAUUAUUUGAUAAAAGUCUCCACAGUGGUGUUUUUACUGUGGCUGAACUUUGGUGGGUAAAGAGAUAAAAGAAAAACUUCAAUCUAUGGCCUUGGGACACACAUGAGAAAUUUGCUACCCAGGUGAGGCACACUUGUGGAAGCCAAAAAUCUUCAUGCUUAUAUCAAAUCCAUGAAUAUUCUGGCUUCUGAACAUGGCCCAAGUACGGGAGGGUUAUGUGCAGUAGUAAACAGAUGACUAAACUACAUCUGAUGCCUAAGUAGUGACUUCUUGGUGAACACACAACUUUUUCACCAUGCUAUCAUGCAAUCAUUUUUAAAACUCGGGAUGUCAUCUUCCUCCCUUGUAAGUUCAAGCCCCCAGAUAUGGCUUAUCAGGCCACUUAUAAUGUGUGUGCUUUCAAGUUCACGAUAUACAUUGCAUUACAUUUAUAAUAUCAGGUGACGUGACACAGCAAAUGAUACCUUCAACUAUCUCCAGCCCCAAUCUUGGGAAAUGUUUCUGGUAGUCCCAGUAGCAGGGACAGCAAGCUAAAAUAAGGGGUUUAACGUUUAAGAUCUCUAAGAGCUGAUACCACUGGGGCAAACUCCCUCAACAAUGAGGUUUUCUCCAACCUCAAAAGAAAGGCCAGUGAACAGUCAUCUGGUACAGGUGGCAUUGCUGGUGGGAGGAGUGGGUUUUCCACGGCUGUACUACACAUUUUGGGAGCCAUCAAUAGCUGGCGCAGUGGAUGCAACACCCUCUUGAUUGUCAGCAGAAGCAAAUCACUAGAAGCCCUGGAACCCUAGUAAAACACCCAAAAGAAAACAUGGAAUUAAAUAUCACGUUGUCAUCCCUGCUGCUUAGGUACAGAAGAGGUACAGCUCUAUUCUGGAAGGAUUUGGAGUCAUUUGAGAGAGCAGCUUUACAUCAGAAGUUUUGACUAGUAUUCUCAUUUUAGGGACAGAUAGUGAUUCUCAUUUGAGGACAGCUGAAAAAAAAAAACAGCUGAAUUAUCACCAACUAGUUUAGGUUAUGUCUUGGGUUGAAUUGUGUUGUCCAAAAAGAUUCAUUGACGCACUAACCCCCAGAACCUCAGAAUGUGACCCUUAUUUGGAAUGAGGGUCUUUACAGAGUUAAUCAGAUUAAAAUAAGAUACGAUUGGCACUAACCCAAUAUGAGUUUUUAGAAAAAGGGGAAAUUUCAACCCAGAGACAUGCAUUGUGGGAGAACUAUAAGAAAAGAUACAGGCAGAACGCCAUGAGAAGACAAAUGCACAGACUAGGGGAUGCAACUACAAGCCAAGGAAUGGCAAAGAUUUCCAGCAAACCACCAGAUGCUAGGAGAAGCAUGGAACAGAUUCU
rnacentral:lncRNA from 1 species